rnacentral:rRNA from 1 species
ACUCAAAUGAAUAGACGGGGACCCGCACAAGCGGUGGAGUAUGUGGUUUAAUUCGACGCAACGCGAAAAACCUUACCUAGGCUCGAACGACUGGAAGUAAGAUCUAGGAAACUAGAGAUGACCUGUAAAGUCAGGUGCCAGCCGAGGUGCUGCAUGGUUGUCGUCAGCUCGUGUCGUGAGAUGUUGGGUUAAGUCCCGCAACGAGCGCAACCCCCAUUCUGUGUUGCUAAUCCGAAAGGAUGCACUCUCAGAAAACUGCCCACGAUGAGUGGGAGGAAGGUGGGGACGACGUCAAAUCACCAUGGCCCUUAUGUCUAGGGCUACACACGUACUACAAUGGUCGGUACAGAGGGUCGCAAUACCGCAAGGUGGAGCCAAUCCUUAAAACCGGCCCCAGUUCAGAUUGUGGGCUGAAAUUCGUCCACAUGAAGGUGGAAUCGCUAGUAAUCGCGAAUCAGAAGGUCGCGGUGAAUACGUUCCCGGGUCUUGUACACACCGCCCGU